rnacentral:misc_RNA from 1 species
GUAGGUGAACCUGCGGAAGGAUCAUUAACACGUAUCCAAACGUUAAAACAACUCUGUGAAUAUUGAAUCUCAGUUCCCCCAGGGCAGAAAAAUGGGCUUCCUCUAGUAAAUCAUUGUCUUAACAAGGUUUUGAGUUAGAGGAUGGCGCACGAGUAGCACUGUAUUGGGUCGAGCGUUUCCAAGAUCCACCCCUGGGCCCCCAAUCUGAAAGUGUUUGGUGAAUUCCCACGUGGGGCCUUAGUUCAUUCAGGUUGAACAUGAUGCAUGUCUACCGCGCCCGACGAAAGUCCGACGCACCCCUAAACGAACAACUGUUAACAAUGGAUAUCUUGGUUCUC